rnacentral:rRNA from 1 species
CAGUCGCCGCGGUAAUACAGAGGGUGCAAGCGUUAAUCGGAAUUACUGGGCGUAAAGCGCGCGUAGGUGGUUUGUUAAGUUGGAUGUGAAAUCCCCGGGCUCAACCUGGGAACUGCAUCCAAAACUGGCAAGCUAGAGUACGGUAGAGGGUGGUGGAAUUUCCUGUGUAGCGGUGAAAUGCGUAGAUAUAGGAAGGAACACCAGUGGCGAAGGCGACCACCUGGACUGAUACUGACACUGAGGUGCGAAAGCGUGGGGAGCAAACAGGAUUAGAUACCCCCGUAGUCCCUGUCUCUUAUAC